rnacentral:lncRNA from 1 species
NUGGGACUUCCCGGGGGGAGUUCCGGGGGUGGGGGGCACAAAGGAGAAUGUCCUACUUGGGAGGGCAGGAAGCUGAGAAACUGGACAGGACGUGGGCUUGGGGAACGGAAGUUUAUCUUGGAUACCGAAGGCUGAGUCUCUUAACGAGACUCAAAAGAGGGACCCUGCUUCCCAUUUCCCUCUUCCAUUCCCAGAGCUAGCGCAGGGCUUAGAAGAAUGCCCUUGGUCUGUUGGUCCAGUGGUCGUCUGUCAUCCAUUUUAAGUGUUCCCACUUUCAAGUGACAAUCCUCUCCUUGGCCCUGCCAUGGGCAGAGCAUGUCUGGCAUACCGGCCCGACUUUUACGCCCUAAUCUUGAGUUGAGGAAAUAUAUGCACAGGAGUCAAAGAGAUGUCUUUAUAUCUGACUGUACAUAAAUGAAGUUUUUUGUUUUUUGUUUUUUUUUCUUUUUGGUGCAAUAAAGUUUGUUUUGGCAGAAGGAGGAAGCGCCUGUGGGUGUGGGAGGGUUUGCGUGAAGGGAGCGUGGGUCUCCUCGACAACCACACCUCUCCCCUGGGUCUGCAACCGUCAGGGAGGAAGAAAGCGCUCAGCGAACUGUCUGGAAGCUGGAAGCUCCCGGCUACGUGACCUGGGUGGAUGGAUGCAGGGCUGCUGGUGACCAGUUUCCCGCCCACCAGGAGAAGAGCGUUUCGUGAGCCCCCCUCGGGCCGCCAAGGAGAGAGAGGAGUGCCGCCUCGGCCUCAGCCGCUUCCAGAGAGAUGCAGAUCCCACAAGGACGGGCAGGCCUCGAGUCUGGGCACCUGGGUUUGGCCCGAGUGUCCCCUGGUAAGGAUAAGGUGUCCACAUUCGGGAUAAUCCAAACCACUGGGUUUUCUGUUUUCUGGCACUUAACCAGCCCUCAGGAGCCCAGCGUUCGGAGACCGUGGAGACGCUGCUUCGCGCAGCCUCCGCCCCACACCCCCGUCCCUACUGGGUAAAGGAGGCCCCCGCUUUCCGGCGCAGAGGCUUUUCCUCCUGGCUGACCACGGGCGUGGGGAGAAACUUCGCGAAAUGCCGCCCCGUGCCGUGUGCAGCCAGGAUACGGGAAAGUGAGGGGGUCUGGUGGGAGUGGACCUAGGCUCUGGCUUUUCUCUUUGCUUCUUCCGCCUGGUGGCCUCUGGUAGAGGACUUGGACCCUUCGCCUGAGACAUUAAGGAGACCUACUUACCCAAGUAAAGUCGUGAGGAUUAGGGGGGGUUCGCAAAUGGGGUAGGUGGGGUAGGUGCUCAGUAAACGAUGCCCUUGCCGCCACUGAGGCUAGAGGGACCCGGUGAGCAACGGGAGAGGGAAAGCCACUAGGAAACGGGAGAACUACCACCGUGUAGGGCCACUGUCGGUCAGUUCCCCCAGAUUCCACGGUUUCCUCUAACCACCACUUGACUUUGACCUCUGUUUCACACUCAGCCGUGUCUGUCAUAACCUGCAGGGCCUCAAGGAAGCUGGAUGAGACC